rnacentral:rRNA from 1 species
UACGUAGGGUGCGAGCGUUGUCCGGAAUUAUUGGGCGUAAAGGGCUCGUAGGCGGUUUGUCGCGUCGGGAGUGAAAACACCGGGCUUAACUCGGUGCUUGCUUUCGAUACGGGCAGACUAGAGGUAUGCAGGGGAGAACGGAAUUCCUGGUGUAGCGGUGAAAUGCGCAGAUAUCAGGAGGAACACCGGUGGCGAAGGCGGUUCUCUGGGCAUUACCUGACGCUGAGGAGCGAAAGCGUGGGGAGCGAACAGG